UGGGUGCCUUAUAAUGCAGUCCGAACGAACUCCUGGUAUUGAUUGGUGCUUGCAUCAUGAUUUACAUUUGAGUGAGUGGCGAACUGGUGAGUAACACGUGGGAAACCUGCCCAGAAGCGGGGGAUAACACCUGGAAACAGAUGCUAAUACCGCAUAACAACUUGGACCGCAUGGUCCGAGCUUGAAAGAUGGCUUCGGCUAUCACUUUUGGAUGGUCCCGCGGCGUAUUAGCUAGAUGGUGGGGUAACGGCUCACCAUGGCAAUGAUACGUAGCCGACCUGAGAGGGUAAUCGGCCACAUUGGGACUGAGACACGGCCCAAACUCCUACGGGAGGCAGCAGUAGGGAAUCUUCCACAAUGGACGAAAGUCUGAUGGAGCAACGCCGCGUGAGUGAAGAAGGGUUUCGGCUCGUAAAACUCUGUUGUUAAAGAAGAACAUAUCUGAGAGUAACUGUUCAGGUAUUGACGGUAUUUAACCAGAAAGCCACGGCUAACUACGUGCCAGCAGCCGCGGUAAUACGUAGGUGGCAAGCGUUGUCCGGAUUUAUUGGGCGUAAAGCGAGCGCAGGCGGUUUUUUAAGUCUGAUGUGAAAGCCUUCGGCUCAACCGAAGAAGUGCAUCGGAAACUGGGAAACUUGAGUGCAGAAGAGGACAGUGGAACUCCAUGUGUAGCGGUGAAAUGCGUAGAUAUAUGGAAGAACACCAGUGGCGAAGGCGGCUGUCUGGUCUGUAACUGACGCUGAGGCUCGAAAGUAUGGGUAGCAAACAGGAUUAGAUACCCUGGUAGUCCAUACCGUAAACGAUGAAUGCUAAGUGUUGGAGGGUUUCCGCCCUUCAGUGCUGCAGCUAACGCAUUAAGCAUUCCGCCUGGGGAGUACGGCCGCAAGGCUGAAACUCAAAGGAAUUGACGGGGGCCCGCACAAGCGGUGGAGCAUGUGGUUUAAUUCGAAGCUACGCGAAGAACCUUACCAGGUCUUGACAUACUAUGCAAAUCUAAGAGAUUAGACGUUCCCUUCGGGGACAUGGAUACAGGUGGUGCAUGGUUGUCGUCAGCUCGUGUCGUGAGAUGUUGGGUUAAGUCCCGCAACGAGCGCAACCCUUAUUAUCAGUUGCCAGCAUUAAGUUGGGCACUCUGGUGAGACUGCCGGUGACAAACCGGAGGAAGGUGGGGAUGACGUCAAAUCAUCAUGCCCCUUAUGACCUGGGCUACACACGUGCUACAAUGGAUGGUACAACGAGUUGCGAACUCGCGAGAGUAAGCUAAUCUCUUAAAGCCAUUCUCAGUUCGGAUUGUAGGCUGCAACUCGCCUACAUGAAGUCGGAAUCGCUAGUAAUCGCGGAUCAGCAUGCCGCGGUGAAUACGUUCCCGGGCCUUGUACACACCGCCCGUCACACCAUGAGAGUUUGUAACACCCAAAGUCGGUGGGGUAACCUUUUAGGAACCAGCCGCCUAAGGUGGGACAGAUGAUUAGGGUGAAGUCGUAACAAGA
rnacentral:rRNA from 1 species